AGAGUUUGAUCAUGGCUCAGAUUGAACGCUGGCGGCAGGCUUAACACAUGCAAGUCGAACGGUAACAGGAACUAGCUUGCUAGUUUGCUGACAAGUGGCGGACGGGUGAGUAAUGCUUGGGAAUAUGCCUUUACGUGGGGGACAACAGUUGGAAACGACUGCUAAUACCGCAUAAUGUCUUCGGACCAAAGCAGGGGACCUUCGGGCCUUGCGCGUAAAGAUUAGCCCAAGUGGGAUUAGCUAGUUGGUAAGGUAAUGGCUUACCAAGGCGACGAUCCCUAGCUGGUCUUAGAGGAUGACCAGCCACACUGGAACUGAGACACGGUCCAGACUCCUACGGGAGGCAGCAGUGGGGAAUAUUGCACAAUGGAGGAAACUCUGAUGCAGCCAUGCCGCGUGUGUGAAGAAGGCUUUCGGGUUGUAAAGCACUUUCAGUGGGGAGGAAAGGGUGUACGUUAAUAGCGUGCAUCUGUGACGUUACCCACAGAAGAAGCACCGGCUAACUCCGUGCCAGCAGCCGCGGUAAUACGGAGGGUGCGAGCGUUAAUCGGAAUUACUGGGCGUAAAGCGCGCGUAGGUGGUUAAUUAAGUCAGAUGUGAAAGCCCAGGGCUCAACCUUGGAACUGCAUUUGAAACUGGUUAACUAGAGUUUUGUAGAGGGUGGUAGAAUUUCAGGUGUAGCGGUGAAAUGCGUAGAGAUCUGAAGGAAUACCAGUGGCGAAGGCGGCCACCUGGACAAAGACUGACACUGAGGCGCGAAGGCGUGGGGAGCAAACGGGAUUAGAUACCCCGGUAGUCCACGCAGUAAACGAUGUCUAUUAGAAGUUUGUGGCUAUAUGCCGUGGGUUUCAAAGCUAACGCAUUAAAUAGACCGCCUGGGGAGUACGGCCGCAAGGUUAAAACUCAAAUGAA
rnacentral:rRNA from 1 species